rnacentral:rRNA from 1 species
CCUACGGGUGGCUGCAGUGGGGAAUUUUGGACAAUGGACGCAAGUCUGAUCCAGCAAUGCCGCGUGCAGGACGAAGGCCUUCGGGUUGUAAACUGCUUUUGUACAGAACGAAAAAGUCUUUAAUAACACUAGAGGCUCAUGACGGUACUGUAAGAAUAAGCACCGGCUAACUACGUGCCAGCAGCCGCGGUAAUACGUAGGGUGCAAGCGUUAAUCGGAAUUACUGGGCGUAAAGCGUGCGCAGGCGGUUAUAUAAGACAGAUGUGAAAUCCCCGGGCUCAACCUGGGACCUGCAUUUGUGACUGUAUAGCUAGAGUACGGUAGAGGGGGAUGGAAUUCCGCGUGUAGCAGUGAAAUGCGUAGAUAUGCGGAGGAACACCGAUGGCGAAGGCAAUCCCCUGGACCUGUACUGACGCUCAUGCACGAAAGCGUGGGGAGCAAACAGGAUUAGAUACCCCGGUAGUC